rnacentral:rRNA from 1 species
GACGAACGCUGGCGGCGUGCUUAACACAUGCAAGUCGAACGAAGAGCGAUGGAAGCUUGCUUCUAUCAAUCUUAGUGGCGAACGGGUGAGUAACGCGUAAUCAACCUGCCCUUCAGAGGGGGACAACAGUUGGAAACGACUGCUAAUACCGCAUACGAUCUGACCUCGGCAUCGAGGAUAGAUGAAAGGUGGCCUCUACAUGUAAGCUAUCACUGAAGGAGGGGAUUGCGUCUGAUUAGCUAGUUGGAGGGGUAACGGCCCACCAAGGCGAUGAUCAGUAGCCGGUCUGAGAGGAUGAGCGGCCACAUUGGGACUGAGACACGGCCCAGACUCCUACGGGAGGCAGCAGUGGGGAAUCUUCCGCAAUGGACGAAAGUCUGACGGAGCAACGCCGCGUGAGUGAUGACGGCCUUCGGGUUGUAAAGCUCUGUUAAUCGGGACGAAAGGCCUUUUUGCGAAUAGUGAGAAGGAUUGACGGUACCGGAAUAGAAAGCCACGGCUAACUACGUG